GAGGUUGUGGCUCAGAGGUAGAAUGCUCACCUAACAUGUGUGAGGCACUGGGUUCCAUCCUCAGCACCGCA
rnacentral:tRNA from 1 species